CCUACGGGAGGCUGCAGUCGAGAAUCAUUCACAAUGGGGGAAACCCUGAUGGUGCGACGCCGCGUGGGGGAAUGAAGGUCUUCGGAUUGUAAACCCCUGUCAUGUGGGAGCAAGUUAAAGAGAUAGUACCACAAGAGGAAGAGACGGCUAACUCUGUGCCAGCAGCCGCGGUAAUACAGAGGUCUCAAGCGUUGUUCGGAAUCACUGGGCGUAAGGCGUGCGUAGGCUGUUUCGUAAGUCGUGUGUGAAAGGCGCGGGCUCAACCCGCGGACGGCACAUGAUACUGCGAGACUAGAGUAAUGGAGGGGGAACCGGAAUUCUCGGUGUAGCAGUGAAAUGCGUAGAUAUCGAGAGGAACACUCGUGGCGAAGGCGGGUUCCUGGACAUUAACUGACGCUGAGGCACGAAGGCCAGGGGAGCGAAAGGGAUUAGAUACCCGGGUAGUC
rnacentral:rRNA from 1 species